rnacentral:tRNA from 1 species
GCGCCAGUAGCUCAGCUGGAUAGAGCAACGGCCUUCUAAGCCGUAGGUCAUAGGUUCGAGUCCUAUCUGGCGCA